rnacentral:rRNA from 1 species
AAAUGCGGAAGAGAUAAGUGCUGAAAGCAUCUAAGCACGAAACUUGCCCCGAGAUGAGUUCUCCCUGACCCUUUAAGGGUCCUGAAGGAACGUUGAAGACGACGACGUUGAUAGGCCGGGGGUGUAAGCGCAGCGAUGCGUUGAGCUAACCGGUACUAAUGAACCGUGAGGCUUAACCUUACAACGCCGAAGGUGUUU